rnacentral:rRNA from 1 species
UACGUAGGGGGGCAAGCGUUGUCCGGAUUUAUUGGGCGUAAAGAGCGUGUAGGCGGCCUUACAGGUCAGCUGUGAAAACUCGAGGCUCAACCCUUCAGAGGUCGACCGAAACCAUCUGGCUAGAGUCCGGGAGAGGAGAGUGGAAUUCCUGGUGUAGCGGUGAAAUGCGCAGAUAUCAGGAAGAACACCGGUGGCGAAGGCGGUUUCUCUGGGCCUUACCUGACGCUGAGGAGCGAAAGCGUGGGAGCGAACAGG